rnacentral:rRNA from 1 species
CUUUUGCUGGCGACCGGCGCACGGGUGAGUAACACGUAUCCAACCUGCCCUUUACUCGGGGAUAGCCUUUCGAAAGAAAGAUUAAUACCCGAUAGCAUAAUGAUUCCGCAUGGUUUCAUUAUUAAAGGAUUCCGGUAAAGGAUGGGGAUGCGUUCCAUUAGGCAGUUGGUGAGGUAACGGCUCACCAAACCUUCGAUGGAUAGGGGUUCUGAGAGGAAGGUCCCCCACAUUGGAACUGAGACACGGUCCAA